rnacentral:lncRNA from 1 species
AUUGGAUUUCAGAUCAAGGGCUCCCUCACCAAUUUUGAUUGAAGCUCACAUCCUCGAUGGUGCUGACCUAAAUGUCAUCUUAUCCUCAAGACUGGCCCAGCUUUGGCUGGGGGUAUUGGAUCAGGCAACCUUCUGAAGGCUUCUCAGAAGAGGACUCUAUAGAAGAACAGAAACAAAAACCUGUAAAUGGAAUGUUACAGAAAAUCCUCUCAAGAACUGUGAUUUUUCAACAUUUUUUAUUGAUGUGGAGAACUCAAGAUAACUUCCAAGGGAAGUGCACACCUCCUAAGGUGAUCUCAAACUGAAGAACAUGGACAACAGAUGGAGAACACACUGCUGGGGAAGAGAACUCUCCUGCUUUCCCCUUCAGCACUACAAAUAACCUUCCAAUUUUCUAGCAGCCAGGAGAGAGUAAGAUCUCUAAUUUCCCAAGCAUGAUGUUUUUUUCAGAGACAGUUUCCAGCCAUCCUGAGGGAGAUGAUGAAAGUGUGAAGUCAAAGGAUUACUUUAUAGUCUGCCCCAUGGUAUCUGCCCAUGCUAGAUUCUGUCUGGGGUGCUUGACUUCAUGAGGGAGCCUGGUCCCACUUAUCCCAGAAAAUGGUCUUUUAGUUCCCUAGGUCAUGUUCCUAAAAUUCUUCUGGGCUGGUAGAUGCUCUAGCAUUCACCCUAACAGAUGUCAUCAGCACUGACUUUGCCUGUCCCCUGACAGCCGUAUGGCAUUCUAACUUGACAAGACUUUUCUUCACCUUAAAACAGACAAACAAAUAAACAGCACCAAAAAGCCA